rnacentral:lncRNA from 1 species
UUUUUCACUGACCCGCGGCUUUCGGUCUACGUUCAUUCAGUUGGCCAAUGAAAUUGGCUUAUGUAAAAUCACUGCCAUUAACGUAGUGACAUAAAAAUCAACGGAAGAUAAGUGUUCCCAGAUCGACUUGCCAUCAUCGUCAGCUGUAACUUUUUUUCCGCAGUCUGUGAGCUGGAUGUAAUUUCAUAUUCUUUCUGCAUUCCGAAACCUUGAAUCACAUUUCUUGCUAUUAAUUGCACACAUUUUUUGCGAUUUUCCUUCUUGCCACUCGAAGGCGCCGCUGAGUGGCUGCCGUUGAGCGCCGAGCUGGGUCAGAUUUAAUAGCUACAACACAUCCAGCAAAUAGCAGCCGCAGCAAAAACGACUGGCUGACUACCUUUUACUGGCACGCACUGCAUUCGAGAUGACGGCCUGUUUUAAAUGCCAGCCAGUUGAGUGACUAU